CUAGGGUGGCUGCAGUGGGGAAUAUUGGACAAUGGGCGAAAGCCUGAUCCAGCCAUGCCGCGUGUGUGAAGAAGGCCUUCGGGUUGUAAAGCACUUUCAGUGGGGAAGAAAGCCUUGGGGCUAAUACCCUCGAGGAAGGACAUCACCCACAGAAGAAGCACCGGCUAACUCCGUGCCAGCAGCCGCGGUAAUACGGAGGGUGCGAGCGUUAAUCGGAAUUACUGGGCGUAAAGCGCGCGUAGGCGGUCUGAUAAGCCGGUUGUGAAAGCCCCGGGCUCAACCUGGGAACGGCAUCCGGAACUGUCAGGCUAGAGUGCAGGAGAGGAAGGUAGAAUUCCCGGUGUAGCGGUGAAAUGCGUAGAGAUCGGGAGGAAUACCAGUGGCGAAGGCGGCCUUCUGGACUGACACUGACGCUGAGGUGCGAAAGCGUGGGUAGCAAACAGGAUUAGAUACCCCAGUAGUC
rnacentral:rRNA from 1 species